rnacentral:rRNA from 1 species
GAUGAACGCUGGCGGCGUGCCUAAUACAUGCAAGUCGAGCGAACGGACGAGAAGCUUGCUUCUCUGAUGUUAGCGGCGGACGGGUGAGUAACACGUGGAUAACCUACCUAUAAGACUGGGAUAACUUCGGGAAACCGGAGCUAAUACCGGAUGAUAUUUUGAACCGCAUGGUUCAAAAGUGAAAGACGGUCUUGCUGUCACUUAUAGAUGGAUCCGCGCUGCAUUAGCUAGUUGGUAAGGUAACGGCUUACCAAGGCAACGAUGCAUAGCCGACCUGAGAGGGUGAUCGGCCACACUGGAACUGAGACACGGUCCAGACUCCUACGGGAGGCAGCAGUAGGGAAUCUUCCGCAACGGGCGAAAGCCUGACGGAGCAACGCCGCGUGAGUGAUGAAGGUCUUCGGAUCGUAAAACUCUGUUAUUAGGGAAGAACAUAUGUGUAAGUAACUGUGCACAUCCUGACGGUACCUAAUCAGAAAGCCACGGCUAACUACGUG